rnacentral:tRNA from 1 species
UUAAUUAAAUCCAAAAUUUGAGGAAUAUUAUUGUUAAUAAUAUAAUUGAAUAAAAAAUUCUAAUUAAA